UACAGAGGGUGCAAGCGUUAAUCGGAGUUACUGGGCGUAAAGGGCGCGUAGGCGGAUAUUUAAGUGAGAUGUGAAAUCCCUGGGCUUAACCUAGGAACUGCAUCUCAUACUGGAUGUCUGGAGUACUGUAGAGGGUAGUGGAAUUUCCGGUGUAGCGGUGAAAUGCGUAGAGAUCGGAAGGAACACCAGUGGCGAAGGCGGCUACCUGGACAGAUACUGACGCUGAGGCGCGAGAGCGUGGGGAGCAAACAGG
rnacentral:rRNA from 1 species